rnacentral:rRNA from 1 species
CACGUAGGGAGCAAGCGUUGUCCGGAUUUAUUGGGCGUAAAGAGCUCGUAGGCGGCUUGUCACGUCGAUUGUGAAAGCCCGAGGCUUAACCUCGGGUCUGCAGUCGAUACGGGCUAGCUAGAGUGUGGUAGGGGAGAUCGGAAUUCCUGGUGUAGCGGUGAAAUGCGCAGAUAUCAGGAGGAACACCGGUGGCGAAGGCGGAUCUCUGGGCCAUUACUGACGCUGAGGAGCGAAAGCGUGGGGAGCGAACAGG